GAUGAGCGCUGGCGGCGUGCCUAAGGUAUGCAAGUCGAACGAAAAGAAUUGGAAGCGCAAGCUUCUAGUUCAAUUAGUGGCAAACGGCUGAGUAACGUAUAGGAAUUUACCCUUUAGUCAAGGAUAGCUCCCCGAAAGUGGGGGUAAUCCUGGAUAAUAUCUUCGGAUUAAAGCCUUCGGGCGCUAGAGGAAAAGCCUAUAUCUUAUCAGGUAGUUGGUGGGGUAAUAGCCUACCAAGCCUAUGACGGGUAACUGGUCUGAGAGGACGAUCAGUCAGACUGGAACUGCGAUACGGUCCAGACUCCUACGGGAGGCAGCAAUUAGGAAUCUUGCGCAAUGGACGAAAGUCUGACGCAGCGACGCCGCGUGGGGGAUGAAGGCCUUCGGGUUGUAAACUCCUUUUACGAGUGAACAAGUUCUGAGUGUAACUCGUGAAUAAGCACCUUCUAACUUCGUGCCAGAAGAAUCGGUGAUACGAAGGGUGCAAGCGCUAUCCGGAUUUACUGGGCGUAAAGAGAUGCGUAGGCGUCUCUGUAAGUCUUUAGUGCAAUCUUUCAGCUCAACUGGAAGCCCGCUGGAGAAACUACAGAGAUUGAGACAGAUAGGGGUAAGGGGAUUCCCUGGUGGAGCGGUGAAAUGCGUUGAUAUCAGGAGGAAUACCAAUGGCGAAAGCACCUUUACUGGGUCUGUUCUGACGCUAAGGCUCGAAAGCGUGGGGAGCAAAACGGAUUUAGAUACCCGUGUAGUCCACGCUGUAAACGAUCCCUACUAGAUGUCUGUCUAAGUGUAGACGUAUUUGACUUUCGGUUAAAUACUAUACACAGAUGGGUGUCUCAGCUAACGCAAUAAGUAGGGCGCCUGGGGAGUACGACCGCAAGGUUAAAACUCAAAGGAAUUGACGGGGACCCGCACAAGCAGUGGAGCGCUUGGUUUAAUUCGAUGCUAAACGAAGAACCUUACCAAGGCUUGAACUAUAGCUGUGGUUCGCUGGAAACAGUGGACGUCUUCGAGAACGCUAUAGAGGUGCUGCAUGGCUGUCGUCAGCUCGUGUCGUGAGAUGUAGGGUUAAGUCCCACAACGAGCGCAACCCCUAUCCGAUGUUACAAUUUUCUUCGGAGACUGCCUUGCCAAAACGAGGAGGAAGGUGGGGACGACGUCUAGUCAUCAUAGCCCUUACGUCUUGGGCUACACAAGCGCUACAAUGGUCGGUACAAUGGGUUGCCAAGCAGUAAUGCGGAGCUAAUCCCGUAAAACCGGCCUCAGUUCAGAUUGUCGGCUGAAAUUCGCCGACAUGAAGUCGGAAUUGCUAGUAAUCGCGGAUCAGCAUGCCGCGGUGAAUACGUUCUCGGGUCUUGUACACAC
rnacentral:rRNA from 1 species